rnacentral:SRP_RNA from 1 species
GCGACUUCCUGUAAGCCGAGCGGCGGUGGUGUUCUGGGAGGUGCAUCGGACAUGGUGGACCUUGGGGCGGCUGUUGAUGAAGCCUCCUUCCGAAGGGGGGAGUUUACAGAGGGGCCUCGAGCAGUCGAGGUUUGUCGGUGAAUAAUGACCGGGGGAACGCGUGAGGCGGGAAACCGAGCAACGAAAACUUGGCGCUCUUCUUAGUCGGGGGAAAAG